rnacentral:misc_RNA from 1 species
AAGUCGUAACAAGGUUUCCGUAGGUGAACCUGCGGAAGAGACGCUCUUGUAGCCCAGGAGGAACAGCAAUCCCGGUAAAUCAAUGGCGGAAAAGUUUUGAUUCGGGACCUCUGUCCAAAAGGUAUCAAGUUACAAUCGAGCUAGGAGCAGUGGCAUGGUUUCCCUAAGCAGUGCAGAAGGAUCCACUGAGUAAGGAUAACGCAUCACGGUUGCCAGAGGUCGAUCACCGGCCGGCAGACAUGUCACAGGGCUUUACGCCCCUUCAUUCACCCCUUGCCUAAUCAAGCCCCGCGGAAACGCCGGGCAAAAAAAUCUGAACAACUGUUAACAAUGGAUAUCUUGGUUCUC